AACGGUCUAUACCUGCGGUACCUGCGGAAGGAUCAUUAUAGAGUGGUAAACCCCCCGUAAAAGGGGGGGACCUCCUGUCCUUUGUAGGCUCUUUUUUAAAAGGGCUUUUUUUAAUUUUCUGCUUCGGUGGGGUUAUCCCACCGGAACAACCUCAAAACUCUUAUCAAAAAAUCGUUCUGUCUGAGAACCUUUUAUAAUAAAAAAAAACUUUUAACAACGGAUCUCUAGAUCGGAAGAGCA
rnacentral:misc_RNA from 1 species